rnacentral:rRNA from 1 species
GACGAACGCUGGCGGCGUGCUUAACACAUGCGAGUCGAACGGAAAGGCCCUGCUUUUGUGGGGUGCUAGAGUGGCGAACGGGUGAGUAACACGGGAGUAACCUGCCCUUGACUUUGGGAUAACUUCAGGAAACUGGGGCUAAUACCGGAUAGGAGCUCCUGCUGCAUGGUGGGGGUUGGAAAGUUUCGGCGGUUGGGGAUGGACUCGCGGCUUACCAGCUUGUUGGUGGGGUAGUGGCUUACCAAGGCUUUGACGGGUAGCCGGCCUGAGAGGGUGACCGGCCACAUUGGGACUGAGAUACGGCCCAGACUCCUACGGGAGGCAGCAGUGGGGAAUAUUGCACAAUGGGCGGAAGCCUGAUGCAGCAACGCCGCGUGCGGGAUGACGGCCUUCGGGUGGUAAACCGCUUUCGCCUGUGACGAAGCGUGAGUGACGGUAAUGGGUAAAGAAGCACCGGCUAACUACGUG